rnacentral:rRNA from 1 species
GAUGAACGCUGGCGGCGUGCCUAAUACAUGCAAGUCGAGCGAACGGACGAUAAGCUUGCUUCUCUGAUGUUAGCGGCUGACGUGUGAGUAACACUUGGAUAACCUACCUAUAAUCCUGGUAUAACUUCGGGAAACCGGAGCUAAUACCGGAUAAUAUUUUGAACCGCAUGGUUCAAAAGUGAAAGACGGUCUUGCUGUCACUUAUAGAUUUCUCCGCUCUGCAUUAGCUAGUUGGUAAGGUAACGGCUUACCAAGGCAACGAUGCAUAGCCGACCUGAGAGGGUGAUCGGCCACACUGGAACUGAGACACGGUCCAGACUCCUACGGGAGGAAGCAGUAGGGAAUCUUCCGCAAUGGGCGAAAGCCUGACGGAGCAACGCCGCGUGAGUGAUGAAGGUCUUCGGAUCGUAAAACUCUGUUAUUAGGGAAGAACAUAUGUGUAAGUAACUGUGCACAUCUUGACGGUACCUAAUCAGAAAGCCACGGCUAACUACGUG